UUUCUUUGUUUGUUUCUUUCUUUCUUUGUUUCUUUCUAUCUUCUUGUGUUUUCUAGCUUGGAAUAGUUUAUACUUUAUAGAACCCUAUUCUCAUCCUCAAGAUCUGCUUAUAGUAUGUUUCUUACCCAACCAAAAUCAUGUUCUUAUCAUGUUAUCAUAUGUUUCUUAACUUGCAGGGUUCAUUUUUGACUUAGAGGUACAUUCGUGAGUAUGGAUCAUAUAUACAUGAAUCAAACACGUAGACAUGUUUGAUGAGUGUAAAUACAUGCCUGGCUCCCUGUAUGCCAUUUGCGGAACCCAUCGAUUGGUGUGAUGGUCUCCGCAGAUGGCGUAUGUGGAGUCGUGCAUAUGUCUCAUCUUGUACAUUCUACUCAGUCUUCUUCACGUCUCAUGAAGUCCUCCAUGUGUCAAAACCAGUCAUCAAGGUUGUGCUGGAAGAGUGGCAUAGUUUCCCAUUCGGGAGCUUAUGGACACUUUUCAAAGUUAGAGGUGCAGUUCUGGACAUUUAGAUACUUUGGAGAGGCAUUGUGUGGAAAUUGCAGAACAUAUAUUGGGACAAAAACUACACAUCUGGAUGAUGCAAUCUUUCUAUUCUCUUUCAGUGUCACUUGGGCCAUCUUUCACGUCUAUUAGUCUUCAGUCGCUCAUUCUUACCUAAAACUAGGGUUUCAUUUCUUCCAUUCAGUCGUUCUCAAAUCCAUUUUGUCUUGUGAACGAUUUCGGUAUUAUGACUUAAAGUGAGUAUCAGUUUCUCUUGAAUUC